GAUGAACGCUGGCGGCGUGCCUAAUACAUGCAAGUCGAGCGAACAGACGAGGAGCUUGCUCCUCUGACGUUAGCGGCGGACGGGUGAGUAACACGUGGAUAACCUACCUAUAAGACUGGGAUAACUUCGGGAAACCGGAGCUAAUACCGGAUAACAUGUUGAACCGCAUGGUUCAACAGUGAAAGACGGUCUUGCUGUCACUUAUAGAUGGAUCCGCGCCGCAUUAGCUAGUUGGUAAGGUAACGGCUUACCAAGGCAACGAUGCGUAGCCGACCUGUGAGGGUGAUCGGCCACACUGGAACUGAGACACGGUCCAGACUCCUACGGGAGGCAGCAGUAGGGAAUCUUCCGCAAUGGGCGAAAGCCUGACGGAGCAACGCCGCGUGAGUGAAGAAGGUCUUCGGAUCGUAAAACUCUGUUAUUAGGGAAGAACAAAUGUGUAAGUAACUAUGCACGUCUUGACGGUACCUAAUCAGAAAGCCACGGCUAACUACGUG
rnacentral:rRNA from 1 species